rnacentral:lncRNA from 1 species
UACAAUAGAACAAUUAGUGUCACAAAUAAACGGAACAUAUACGCACGCGCGUUGUUUUACUUGGUGGAAAUCCCGCAAAUUUCCCCCAACUACCAGAAGGAAUUUGAAGGAAGUCUAAAAUAAGGAACUCACUGGCAAGAACAUCCCACCACAAACAUUGGUCCUUCGAGCCGGAUCCUCAUCAUUGGAUUUUUUAUUUUUUUUAUGACGAAAAAUCACGGUUAUCAUCUCCCCAAUCCGCUCGCCCCAGCUUGCUCCAGAGAAAUUGCCAGCCAAGUACUUAAAAACCGUCCAAUUCCUCAAUUUUGCCAAAUUGCCGCAACCAAAACGGUUGUGUGUAUAGUGUAUAGUGUGUGGAGAAAAAAGUGAAAAAGUGCAAGUGAAGACGAAAAGAACCGCUAUUGUCUCCAUUUUUCUUUCCAAACGUACUGGCAUAUGUACUUAUCUGCCUAUUUCCAAAUAUAUAUUCCAAAUCGUACAACCCUUGGGCGCUCAUAUGUACGCACAUAUGUACAUAUAUACAUAGGCACACGCAGAUCUCCGCUAAUUCCAUUCCGCUUAGAAAAGCUAGUGCAUCGAACAUAUAGUACAUAUGCACAUACAUACGUUUUUUUUUCUUUGGCGUUCUCGUCUCUUGCACUGUGUUAACAUACAUACAUACGCACAUAUACAUAAUCCGCACAAGUUAUUUUAAAUAAUAAACAAAAAUUCAUAAAAUAAAAGAAAGUUUAAGUGCAUGUCCACAGUACCUUUUUUUUGUAGGUGUACUUUAUGUUUUUGUUCUAUUCCUCCGCCAAAAAACUAACUCCAUACACCCAAUUCAUCUUUUAUUAUUUACUUAAGUGCAUGCUACAUUCAUUUAAUAUUUCAGCAAUUGUAAACUCUAAUCCGCAGCCUGAAAUAAAAUAAAAUAUAAACAGCGUUUUUCUUCUUUUAAAACAAAUCAUACCACAUAUAUAAAAGACCGUACGUACAUACAUACAUGCAUGCAUAUCCACACAGUACGGGAUCCGCUCCAAGCUUUUACAUACGUACAUACAUACAUUCCACGAGCAUAGCUUAAAGCAGCUGCUCCAUUCCUCUUUGUGCUUAUGUUGAUACCCCGUACGACGAGGGUAUAUAUUUUUC